rnacentral:rRNA from 1 species
CCUACGGGGGGCUGCAGUGGGGAAUAUUGGACAAUGGGGGCAACCCUGAUCCAGCCAUGCCGCGUGUGUGAAGAAGGCCCUCGGGUUGUAAAGCACUUUCAGUGAGGAAGAACGCCUGGUGGUUAAUACCCAUCAGGAAAGACAUCACUCACAGAAGAAGCACCGGCUAACUCCGUGCCAGCAGCCGCGGUAAUACGGAGGGUGCGAGCGUUAAUCGGAAUUACUGGGCGUAAAGCGCGCGUAGGUGGCUUGAUAAGCCGGUUGUGAAAGCCCCGGGCUCAACCUGGGAACGGCAUCCGGAACUGUCAAGCUAGAGUGCAGGAGAGGAAGGUAGAAUUCCCGGUGUAGCGGUGAAAUGCGUAGAGAUCGGGAGGAAUACCAGUGGCGAAGGCGGCCUUCUGGACUGACACUGACACUGAGGUGCGAAAGCGUGGGUAGCAAACCGGAUUAGAUACCCUAGUAGUC